CAACACGACUCUCGGCAACGGAUAUCUCGGCUCUCGCAUCGAUAAAAAACGUAGCAAAAUGCGAUACCUGGUGUGAAUUGCAGAAUCCCGUGAACCAUCGAGUUUUUGAACGCAAGUUGCGCCCGAGGCCUUCUGGUCGAGGGCACGCCUGCCUGGGCGUCACGU
rnacentral:rRNA from 1 species